CUUCCUCAUACACGUGCACUUGCUGCCACGUUACCGUUGGAGACGGUAGUUUCUGCGCUGCCUGACCCAUGACUGCUCAAAGUCAAGCCCAGCGGAGGCCGUGACCUCAUCACCGGACCCGGUGGACCUGUUCUGACCAGGCGGCACCGCUGCAGGCUCAGGUGGUUAUGGAGCAAAAUCUGUCUCCGAACGCUCGGAGGAGUUUCAGCUUCUCAUCUCUGCGCAUCAAAAAAAGGCAUAACAGUGAAGACGAGAGUGGGUUUACACGAAGGAGGGGGUUACGUUCCUUUUCAUCGAACCGAGAAACGACC